rnacentral:rRNA from 1 species
GUGGGGAAUAUUGGACAAUGGGCGCAAGCCUGAUCCAGCCAUGCCGCGUGUGUGAAGAAGGCCUUCGGGUUGUAAAGCACUUUUGUUGGGGAAGAAAAGCACUGGGUUAAUACCCUGGUGUUCUGACGGUACCCAAAGAAUAAGCACCGGCUAACUUCGUGCCAGCAGCCGCGGUAAUACGAAGGGUGCAAGCGUUACUCGGAAUUACUGGGCGUAAAGCGUGCGUAGGUGGUGAGUUAAGUCUGUCGUGAAAGCCCCGGGCUCAACCUGGGAAUGGCGAUGGAUACUGGCUCGCUAGAGUGCGGUAGAGGAGAGUGGAAUUCCCGGUGUAGCAGUGAAAUGCGUAGAGAUCGGGAGGAACAUCAGUUGCGAAGGCGGCUCUCUGGACCAGCACUGACACUGAGGCACGAAAGCGUGGGGAGCAAACAGGAUUAGAUACCCGUGUAGUCC